rnacentral:lncRNA from 1 species
GUGCAUCUAAAUUUUUUGUGUGCAAAUAUGUUCCUGAAAAGACAUGAGUUGUAUAGUUCAGCAUCCUGCUUUGUGGUAGGUUGAUAAUAUUCCAUUUUUAUGAUUACCCUGCUUUAGAUUAUUCUUGUGUGCCUUGUGCAGCCUUUCCAUUCUAGGCAUCAUUUCUCAAUUGUUUGGGGUCCAAUUCUACAAAUGCUUGGAUGUGUUGGUUCGGCCUUCUGUUAAUCUCCAGAUGAUAGGUCAGGCAGGCAAGUUAAUUCUCUAGUUUCUCAUGAUACUUCUAAAAUCUAUUGCAUAGUAGGAUACGUGCCUGAAAUGUGUGCACACUUACAAUUUCGGUUGUGGAGUUAAAUUAUAAAUCGAUUUGAUACGAUAGAUAUGUAUAGAAAAAGCUUUCAACCAAGCAGACUAUUCUUUUAGUAUAUAAAUAGUAUGGCUAUAUACACUGAGUGCAAAAGCUAUUUGUUCGCCACUUAAGCUUAUAUAUUUUCUUUAGCUAUCGUCCUUUGACAUUUUCUUUAUGCAAUGGUUGGUUGAUCAAGCCGAGGACUUCCCUGCGGUGCUUGGUUGGACCAUGUUUCAUUCAGCUAAUAAAAUAGUAUAUAUGUGUGUGUGAUUGGUUCAUCAAUUUUCAGAAACAUUUGUUGCCCAGUAGCUUCCAAAUAGCAGUUUUGCUUUCUUUGUUGCACCUAUAUACUUGCACCUUACAACAACCAUCAUGUUCGCAAAUCGUCUCUAUUAAUGUCCUUUCUUUACUCAUUUAGGACUUAUGAGUUGAUUAAUAUGUCACUCUCAAUAAAGUGUUUUCUUUAAAUGAGGAAUGACAUAUAUAAUUGGUUCUAUUAUAAUAGCUAGCAUUCAUCUUUUCCAAAUAAAUUGUACUGCCUUUUGCUUUAUCUCUUGGUAUAUUUUUCAUUGCUAACAAUUGAUCUGUAGAGAUGCUAUUCUGUCAAGAUUUUCUGCUAUCAAAUAAUUCAUGGCCAGCUACAAUGUUUACCCUUUUAUGUAACUAUUGAGACCCUCUCAGCUGUGCGAUGUAAUCUCAGCUCUCAGGCGCUAGAUUAUGUAUGUACUUGCCUCUCGUUAUGGCGCUCACAAUGCUUCAUGUUUGUUUACCUUUCUCAUUUCGGUGCUGUCCUGUAAUAAAACAAGAUAUUUACUCAAAUCCUUGCAGGAAUAACUAAGCCUUUCAAGGAUGUUGCUUGAAGAUGGAGGGAUCUUUCCCUACAAGUUUGUUCUUUUUGUUGUUACAGCAAAGACUACUUCCUGGGUUGUCGAGGUGAGCUGUAUGAUGUAAGCACUUAUGGAGGAGAAAAAAUUACUUAGAAUUUGACUUCUCCUGCAUUUAUAGGCUAAUCAAGUGACCUUUUGUCAACUUUUAUGCAAUCUGGCUCUCCAAAUUUUGUGCUUGCUCUGAACUCUCAAAAUUUGUGCUUUGUUGUCCUGUGUUGAUUAGUCAAAUCCUGGUUUUGUCUUAAAGACUAUACCCAGCCAUGUCCUAGGUUUUUCAUUUUGUAUGAAUUUCAUGUUUCACUGGAAUAUGAGAAUACACCAACUGGAAGAACUGUUGAGCAACACAUUUUCAUGGGAUUUUAUAUGUUGUGAUGUCUGAUUUUUAUCUCUCUUCUAGUUUACAUAAAGAAGCCUAGGUAAGUACUCAAGAAUUUUGUUUUCGUCUAUAUUGACAGACUUUAGGUAUUUUUUUAGAAUGAUUCUGAAACGAGGUCACUCCUACUGAUCUUGCUCUUCGUGUCCGGUGGCAGGAUGCUAGGUCAAGAAUGCAGGGUGGGCGAAAGAAAAUUGUGAAUGCUUUUAUCUCCGUGGUCAUUUGGAGCAUAUGGAGGGACAAGAUAGCGGGCUUUAAUAGUGUCUUCGCGCUGCUCCAGAGAGUCAUCGAUCCUGAUACUAGGCAGUAGGCUCGUGUGAGCUUGGGUCAUUUGAUCAUCCCCGAUUGUGUAAAGACUCCUCUGGAAUAUAUGCAAUCCUAUUGCAUGGUUUAAAAAAGAAUGAUUCUGAAACGGGUGUAAAGCAGUGUACGUGCUUGGCAACAGCUAAACCUACUAAUAUAUGGAAUUUUUUUCAAAGCACACAUGGUGUUAGUGGGUCUCUGCUCCAGUUGGCGCAACGGGUGGUAUCAUGCCCAUGCCUAUAUGACACGAUAUACUUCUUUGUAAUGUAAUCAGUUGUGCAUGUCAAUGGAAGUGGUUUAAAGCAUGUAAGCUGAUGCAUCUUGUGCUUGCUUGUCACUAUUUGUACUAGGCAAGGUCUACAAUAGAUUAUAUAUUCAUUCAAACAUGUACUUGGUUUGCUUCCUUUUCCUGCUUGAACAUAUGUAAGUUCUUAUUAUCUUUACAUGCUUAUUUGGUGAGGAAGCCAUC